UACGAAGGGGGCUAGCGUUGCUCGGAAUCACUGGGCGUAAAGGGUGCGUAGGCGGGUCUUUAAGUCAGUGGUGAAAGCCCGGAGCUCAACUCCGGAACUGCCAUUGAAACUGUUGGACUUGAGUACGAGAGAGGUGAGUGGAGUUCCCAGUGUAGAGGUGAAAUUCGUAGAUAUUGGGAAGAACACCGGUGGCGAAGGCGGCUCACUGGCUCGUAACUGACGCUCAGGCGCGACAGCGUGGGGAUCAAACAGG
rnacentral:rRNA from 1 species